rnacentral:rRNA from 1 species
GCCGGUGGAUGAUUGUGGAUUAAUUCGAUGCAACGCGAAAAACCCUUACCUACCCCUUGACAUGUCUGGAAAGCCGAAGAGAUUUUGUCCCUGCUCGCAAGCAGAACCGGAACACAGGGUGCGGCAUUGCUGUCGUCAGCUCGUGUCGUGAGAUGUUGGGUUAAGUCCCGCAACGAGCGCAACCCUUGUCAUUAGUUGCUACGCAAGAGCACUCUAAUGAGACUGCCGGUGACAAACCGGAGGAAGGUGGGGAUGACGUCAAGUCCUCAUGGCCCUUAUGGGUAGGGCUUCACACGUCAUACAAUGGUCGGGACAGAGGGUCGCCAACCCGCGAGGGGGAGCCAAUCUCAGAAACCCGAUCGUAGUCCGGAUCGCAGUCUGCAACUCGACUGCGUGAAGUCGGAAUCGCUAGUAAUCGCGGAUCAGAAUGUCGCGGUGAAUACGUUCCCGGGUCUUGUACACACCGCCCGUCACACCAUGGGAGUGGGUUUCACCAGAAGUAGGUAGCCUAACCGUAAGGAG